CAGUGUGCUUACACAUAUUACACAGAAUAUACAUCACAACACAAAACAAUACAACAGUGCAAUGGUCUAACAGUCCAACGCAAAGAUCUAAGCAAAUGUAAGAGAAUAUAUAAGUGAGUGACAUAUGGGUUAGAAGAUAAUGAGACUAUAUGAGAGAAUAAGAAAGUGUGUGUGUGUGUGUGUGUGUGUGUGUGUGUGUGUGUUAAUGAUUGUAUGUGCUUAUUCAUUUGUUUAAGACAGCACGGCCAGCAAUAGGCACCCAAGUCCAUCACUAACAGAAGAAAGGAGUACUCUGCCCCGUGGCAAUUUCCCAGAACAAUAGUGGUUUCCCACUCCACUGACGUCAUGCAGGCUUCCGGCUCUAGUAAAAGGCCUCAUGGACAAAGCCCCUGGGCCUCUCCAAUAUCCACAGAUCCACGUUGCUCAUAAUAUAACACUGCUGCAAAGGCCAAAGACAACAUUUUGUUGUAGCCCUCUCAUUUUGUUGAUACAAUUCAAGCACUUCCCCCGUCGCACUAGUUGACCGAGGUGAGGUUGUACUGUGCCACAUUCUGAGAAAAAAAUCCUUGUCCUUGUUCCUGGAAGUGUAUCCUGAUACCCAGCUGUUUCUAAAAAAAAAGAAUGUCUCCUUGCUUUGAAAUUAUGAACAUUUACAUCUGUCGAGGAAAGACGUGGUAAGUACCUAACCUCUUCCAGUGUGGGUUAAUGUGAAUGUGAAUCAUCAAAGAGAAAUCUCACUCAGCAUGUCUGGGCAUAGAGGUGUUUGUGGGCGUUGAUCAGUUCCAAAGGACCAGAUUUGCUGCCAUAUAGCUGUUGGCCAUGGGAGUGCUUCCAAGGUAAAGGUGUGGUCAGAUCCAGACAGGUAUCUCCCUGAGUGGCUCUAUGAAAAGGGUUUUGUCAGAUCCAGGCUGAUAUUUCCCAUGUAUGGCUCUAUGAAAAGGGUUUGUCAGAUCCAGGCUGAUAUUUCCCUGUAUGGCUCUAUGAAAAGGGUUUGUCAGAUCCAGGCUGAUAUUUCCUUGAAUGGCACUAUGAAAAGGGCUUGGUCAGAACAUAGUUGAAAGGAAAGAACCAUGGAAUUGUAGCUCAGAUGGUAAGUUUGAGUGUCUGUGAUUCAGAACACUACCAUAGGUUUUCUAUAGUUUGAGUGUUUAUAAUAUUGCGGCGAGCUAACCCAGAAGAAUGGUGGCGGACACAGGCGUCUCAGUUUUAAAGGUAAGUCCCCUUGCCCCAUACACCGCCCAACCCCAGGGAUCUCAGGUUUAAAGGUAAGUCCCUUGCCCCAUACCCAGGGGUCUCUGGUUUAAAGGUAAGUCCCUUGCCCCAUACACCACACAACCCCAGGAGUGCCAAAGAACACGUGCUGAACUGGAGACAGAAAGCAGGUGUUUUACUCUGACAUGGUUACAACACUGACGGUGGUCAUUUCCAUAAACCAACACAUUGCUCUACACAGGCAUCAAACCGUACAAAAUACACAGACGAAAUUAAAACAGUUAUUCACGCUAAAGUUAGAAACAUGAUUUCAGAACCAUAAUCAACAAGAACGCAUGCAUGGGAUACACGAGGCAUGCAGGGAAACCAACAAUCUCAGACACAGCAGCGCUGCUAUCCUCUUGCACGCUACAAUUCAGUGUUUUUAUUAUAUAUAUUUAUUUAUAUGUUUGGAAUCACAUGGCCUGUCUGGUUCUGAAUGGCUUGGCAUGAUUGUCAUGGCCAUAUAAUCACAGUGACUGAGGAAGAUGCCAUAUAAGGAAGAAGGGGAAGCCCUGAGAGGAACAGUCACUGCAGGAAUUGAGUCAUGACAAAAGUCCAAAGUUCAGUAACCACACAGUUGGUGGCUUUUGACUUUCUAACUUUGCUGAUGAUGACGAAGUCCCUAAUUUCCAACAGGGAACAAGGAAGAGGGGGCAAGGAAGGCCAUACAACUUCAUCCAUUGCCGAUAACCACCUUUUUUCUGUGGAAGUGACGGUAAACGGGAACCAUUCAUUCUCCUGAUCAUUAAAUCAUUUUUAUGGAAUGUGUUUUUCCUUGUAGGUGCCAGCCAGGUUACUGGAUAAACCCAGGGGUUCAGAUCUACCCUUAGACAACAAUUAUAACCACUUUGGAUGCAUGCCAGUGUUUUCUGCAACAGAGAUCAAAUCCAGCAGUGGGGUUUAACUUCAGAAAAGUGCAAAGCAAGCCUUUCCACUAGGUGCCUCACAAACCGGUCUUGGACAAAUAUUGGUUCAGGCCUUAGGGAUCAGCCUGCUACUACUUCUGCAAAGGACACACCUGCACCUUUGUUGAACAUACGCAGACACGAGUUGUGAUGACGGAUAAACACUGGGGUUUGGAGAGGGUCUUGGGACUGUUCUCACUCCUAGUAACCAAAGCAUUGCUAGGCGAUAAACGCCUGGGGAAACCAGCAGAAGCCUUUGGGGCAUGGGAGAGGACAGGGCAUCAGGGGACACUGUGAGGAUGGGCAUAGAGGAAGAUGAGAGAGGGAUAGAUGGAGAGAGAGAGAGAGAGAGAGAGAGAGAGAGAGAGAGAGAGUGGGGGCACAAGUGUUGGACAAAGCGACUGAGGUGUUUUCAUUCACUGGGAAGAUUCAGAUGUGUGAGGAUGCCAAAGGAGUAACACAAAGAGAGAGGUGAAAAUAUGACAGUAUAAAAGGCAAGAAUGACGGAAAGGAGAAGAGGAGAAUGCCACUGACAGAUAGUAUACUAUCUCCACGGCAGCAACAGCUCAUUCAGAGGCACUGGGAUGGACAAACACUAUGGUUUUAAGAGAGGAUAAGGAGCCUGAAUCAGAACUAACCCCAUGGGGGUGAGUAAGCAUUAAAACAUCCUGACAUGGUGGAUAGCCCAGAUGUUGAAGGCCCAUUCAGGGAGGUUUUUCUUGGUGCUCUAGUUUUCCUGAUUCCAGAUGAGGCAUUUUGUUCACGCACCCACUUUUUCAGAAACUUUAGUCUGAAUGUUUAUGUGAAUGGCAAUGCAGUUAAUAUAAGUACCUUGGGAAUGACACCCAAGCUUUUCUAGAAUAUAAUGCAUAUAAUGUCAUUGCAAGCUUUCACAGAUGUAUCUGUGUAAUCUUGUCAACCUGACUGUUGGAACCACAUGUAAUCUAGUGAGUAGGCCUAAACAUUUAGGUGUAGAUAUUUAUGUGCUGUUGUUCUGAGCGAAGCAUGUGCUGAGAGAUAUGUGUCAAAUGCGUGUAUAUCAGAAAUAAUGAAAACAAAAACGUGAGCGUUAAAACUGUACACUAUAUACAACUAUACACAAUACGCUGCACUGUUAAACAGUACAUGAACUUUGGAGGGAUUUGUUUUGCCUGGAAACAUUGCUUCCAGUCAUAAAGUGAAAGGCUGUGGGAACUCAGUUGCCAGGUAACUAUACCCAUUAGUAAACGCGUACACUGUUGCCAAGACAGGGAUGUCAGGAAAAAAACAUUGGCAGCAUUCAGUGCCGCCCACAUGCACAUCUGUAUAUGUUUUCUCUUAGGUCCUCGAGCCACUGACACUGGACAACUCGUUCAAAGCCAAACUACAGUCAAUAUUUACAGCUCUAACAGAUGAGAACAUUUCAUGCGGAAGUGAAUCAGAGAAAGUCAUGUGAGGUGAAAGCUGUUACUCUGCGUUUCAAAUGGGAAACACAUCAAGUUCCACACAAACUCAAUCCAUUUUUGAACUUGAAAUGUAUUAUUUUUUUUGCUCAGAUAAACUUAAUGACUUUCUCUACAAAAAAAAGAGGUUAAAUCGUUUAGGUUUUAAUGAAGUUUUAAAGCCUUGACUACAUUAUGUUUCAAGUUGAUAUUGAAAAAUGAAUGCUUAAGUUCACUUUUGCCACACACUUAGGCAUAUUAAAAAGUCUAAAUACUCUAGAGCAUGAUGAGGCCUGUGUGAGGCUUGUCACCUGACAUUAUGACCAGUUCUUGAAUCAAUGAUGAAAUGAUAGGAGAAAACCCCUGAGGUAAAUUAAUUAUAGUCCUUACUAUUCUAUUCUUAGUUUCUGUUUGUCUGUCAACACUGGGUUCUUUAUCAAAAUAAUCAGCUAACAGAUACUUCCUGUUACACCACCCACUACAAAGUAAACAAUUGUCUGCCUAUUUUAAGUACACAGACAAUUAGAAGACUGCAUGACAAAUAGAUAGUAAGAAUUUUAGAUUGUCUUUUGAGGUCAGGCUGAAAUGUUAAAAGCAAUUUGUGUUGGUGGCCAAAGUUACCACAGUGCCCCAUAUUUCGCAGAUUUGCUUCAAGAAUCAGAUUUCCAAAAAAACAUCAUAGUUUGGGGUUAAUUUAUUGAAGUCAGAUGUUAUUUAGUUACAAUGGUUGGCCAGAAAAAACAAACGCAUAUACACACGUAGUGAACCCAGGAGACAGGAGACAGGAGACAGGAGGAGAAAUCCGGCCCUCUUAUGGUAAUAUUAUGUAAUACUUUUUGUCUUAUUUUCCGACACUGGCACACCUUUAAACCUUUUGUGCUGCCAAAGCAGUAAUAAGACCUGGCAUGACUUUUUAAUCUUUGCUUUCAGUCUGACUUUCAGUGUCUCUCCUCACCACACUGGGAGAAGUAGAAGAAACUAAAGGGUAUUUCCCUCUUCUGUCUGGUCCAGCAAGCCCCAUUUAUUGCCAGCAUACACCCUUCACGCUUGUCUGAACAAAGUCAUGUCGGUGGUGCCGGGAACCAUUCAGACACUGGGGCUGCCCGGUGAGACUCAGCCCCAAGAGCAGGCACCUGGGCAAGGUGAGACUCAGCCCCAAGAGCAGGCACCUGGGCAAGGUGACACAGCUGAGGUGGAGUGCCCCAUAUGCUACCAGGAGUACAACCAGUGUGGCAAGUGCCCCCGAAUGCUGGAGUGCUUGCACGUCUUCUGCACCGAGUGCCUCCAGCAGAUCCAGCUUUCCUCCCCCUGCCCCCUGGACCCGGACACCGGCCCCUUCAUCCCCUGCCCGCUCUGCCGCCACCCGACCCCCCUUCAAGCCGGCGAUGCCCUCUCCUUGCCCCCCAACUCCUGUAUCAUGGCCCGCUUGCCGCCCAUGUCCUUCCGCAUGCCCGUGUCGGUGGCUGCGCGCCUGGCUACCACCGUCACGCAGCGGGUGGUGGUGUCGCUGGAGCAGCGCGACGCCCGCUUCAUCAUCCUGCCCACAGUGAGCCUUAGGGUGGAGCAUAUGACCGAGGAGGAUAGGAGGAGUGCUGGGGAGCGGGGGCUGCUGGGCCUAGGCGGCAUGGAGGGGCGCAGGGAGCGGAGCCGGACCCUGGUCUGCGUCCAGGUGCUGGCUGUGGUCUUCUGGAUCAUCUUUGUGCUGACCUGUGUGAUCGCUGUGGUGUUCGGACCCAACUUUUUCCACAAGAAACAGCCAGGAGGAAAGUAAUCCUCAUCCUCAGAGAAGGAAGCCUUGACACCCUGACGGUGCUUUGGCAAUGUAAACUAAUUUUUUACUUUCUAUGUGACAAGACCGUACCUCAAUUCUGCCUACAAGCCAUAUCUGAGAAUACUGCCUGUAUAUACUAUAAAGAAUAUAGAAUACUAUAGAAUACUUUAUGUAAAUUUAUCUUUUGACAUGAUUACAUUCCUUUUGUAGCUCUCUGUAACGUCAAAAAUUAUCCUGCAACAUUAACAUAUAACUCCAUUGAGCUACUGAUUGGAACAUAGUUAAUUGUUAUUUCUUUUGUGUAAGUCAUGUGCAACGUUGUGAAGCAACAGGAUGUCUGGAUGUUCUAUUUAAGGUGCAUUUAACCUGAACUAGCGGGAAGAAUCACACACUGGGAGGAGAGUACCAGUAGAGGGUUGACCUCACAUGCUUCAGGGACUAAUGAACUGAUACUGGGCUGCUGUCUAUAGACUGUCUUAAGAAAGAGAGGAACAUGGCUAAUCAGACAUUGUUAUAAUUUUCAUGUCAUCAGAACAUACAGUGGACAUGUGGUGGCCAUUGAAAUGUCAGCCUUCUCUCUGCCCAGUGGAUAUCUGUUCCUCUGUUGCCUCAAAACACAUUGGAAUGAGCUGGGCAAACAAUCCUUCUAUUGACACUGGAAUAAUCAAAUAAGUUAUUCUUCAACGACACAUUUUUCUACUUAACUUGUCUGAAGAUGUUUGUGUUGAACUUCAAUGUGCUGCCUUGGAGCUGUUCUGGGACAACAUGAAUAAUGCUACACUGCAACAUUGAUAACUUCAAUUGUCUGUUGAUCUGAACGUAGUUGAGUUGUAUUAUUCUUGUAUACAUUAUGUGCAACGUUGUAGGUAAUGAGGACAAGGGGGUGUUCUGUUUCAGCCACACUAACUUUAACAUACCUAACAAACAAACAACCGUUCUACAGACGCUGGAAUAACAAAGGUAUUCAUGCAUUAAGAACAUGUUUUCUCAUAUCACAUGCUUGUGUUGAAGUUAAGUGCGUAGAUUAGAGAUUCUGUUCUAUUUUGUCUGUUGUUGACAAUGUGAUCUUUUGUUUAGUUGACAACAAUAACCCUAAGCGACUGUAAAUAUUAUAGCUUGGUACUACAUUUUAUUGCAACGGGUUUAAUUAUUCAAUGAUUGAAAAGUAGGCCUAUUUGUUACAGAUUUACCACGCCGUAACUCUGGAAUGCUGUAUGAUUGUGUUGGUUAUUCAUUUAUUGUUUUUUGUUCAUGUUUUGCUCCAGCAUCAGAUUUAUGUGUCCAAUUUAACAACUAAUGACUCAGUCUGAUGUAUCAUAUUUUCUACCACAGAAGAACUACCAAAGACCAUGUGUUGUGUUGCUCUAGACAAGACGUGAGAUGUAUCUAGAGAUCAUCAGAAAUAAUCUGAACAGAUCCCUUUUGGACUUGACAUGCUGAAAUGUGAAGUAAGCUUGUGGGCUUCGUCACGAGGCUGCAGAUUUGUGUGGUCUGGCUCCCUCUGGUGGUGCAGUGAAAUGCUGCAGCGCGCCCGCAAACAGCCAUGCCGUUUGAUGCGUCUCAGCAGCAUCACUGUACAGUUGGUGCAGCAUCUGUGUAAGUGUGAUGCAGUUUGAGCUGUUAUGAGAGGAACUGCAACUUCUAAUAAUGUUACCAUGUGGGAAUUGGACCGAUCCUGGCCAAGAAACAAUAAAACUCUUGUUUGUGUUCUCCUGA